GGCUAGAUGUACAACCCAGAGAGCGAACUGACCCUUUGGAGGACCUAACAGCUUUGGGUACAUCAUUGAUCAAACAGAAUCUACCAACUAAUACUCAGAUUCAGGUUCAAUUUAAACCCUUAGAAAAGCUGAGCAUGAACCAGUUGAAACAGCAACAGCAGAAUGUUAACCUGGCAACAGCUUCAUUGAACUCAUCUGCAAACCUUCUGCACAGCAAAACUAGUCCAGCAGGAAUGCUUGGCACGUCUCAGUUUCCUUCCAGUGUUCCUAUAACCACUGGUGCUAGUAACAGUCAUGCUAGCAAGAACUCUGUAGAUUCCUUGCUAAAUCUAGAUUUGUUAAGUGGAGAGAUUAGUGGGAGUUUGGUGACCGAUGGAACAAAGACAACACACAGUACUGUUGAUGAAGUGAAUCCUUUGCAAGGCAGUAAUCUGUUAGAUAGUCAUAAUGGUAGUUUAUUAGAGGCUCCCUCUCUUAAUACCAAACAAGAAAUAGCAAAUAAUUCAAAAAAAUUAUCUCAAGAAAGUAUAAAGAGUGUUGGUGAUAGCACCAGAGAAGAACAAGUUCUACAUCAAAUGCCCAGUUUAUGGAAGUGAAGCAUAUGAACGAUAUUAAAGUUACCUUAGACAUGAUCAAGCCAGGGAGACAAGGCUCUGUAAACGUUCUGGAGAGUAAUGAUGUGAGUGUUACUCUACACUUCACAGAGAAUCAACCUCGAGAGGAUGUGUCUGUUGUUGUUGUAUCCACUGUGUCUAACAAUUCACAGCCCUAUAUCGAAUUAUGUUCUCCAAGCUGUUGUGCCUAAGAGGCGUGCAGAUACAACAGUUCAAUAUCACCCCAAACGGCAAAUAUCCCAAACAGCAGAUAGUAGGUUAGUAGGCAGCAACCAUCCAGGGAGGCACUACUGUCCUGUUAAAUGAGUGUAAG